GACAGAGGUCUCAAGCGUUAGGCGGAAUCACUGGGCUUAAAGCGUGUGUAGGCGGAUUCCUAAGUACCUUGUGAAAUCCCCGGGCUUAACCCGGGAACUGCUUGGUAUACUGGGUGUCUUGAGCCAACUAGGGGCGACCGGAACAAACGGUGGAGCGGUGAAAUGCGUAGAUAUCGUUUGGAACGCCAAUGGUGAAAACAGGUCGCUGGGGUUGUGCUGACGCUGAGACACGAAAGCCAGGGGAGCGAACGGG
rnacentral:rRNA from 1 species